rnacentral:snRNA from 1 species
GUGCUCGCUUCGGCAGCACAUAUACUAAAAUUGGAAUGAUACAGAGAAGAUUAGCAUGGCCCCUGUGCAAGGAUGACACAUAAAUUNUAUGGAAACCAAUUUGAU